AUUGAACGCUGGCGGCAGGCCUAACACAUGCAAGUCGAACGAGUGGCGGACGGGUGAGUCAUGUCUGGGAAACUGCCUGAUGGAGGGGGAUAACUACUGGAAACGGUAGCUAAUACCGCAUACCAUCGGAUGUGCCCAGAUGGGAUUAGCUAGUAGGUGGGGUAAAGGCUCACCUAGGCGACGAUCCCUAGCUGGUCUGAGAGGAUGACCAGCCACACUGGAACUGAUACACGGUCCAAACGCCUACGGGAGGCAGCAGUGGGAAAUAUUGCACAAUGGGCGAAAGCAUGAUGCAGCCAUGCGGCGUGUAUGAAGAAGGCCGUCGGGUUGUAAAGUACUUUCAGCGGGGAGGCGUUACCCGCAGAAGAAGCACCGGCUAACUCCGUGCCAGCAGCCGCGGUAAUUC
rnacentral:rRNA from 1 species